rnacentral:rRNA from 1 species
GCGUGAAUCUUCGAAUCUUUGAACGCACAUUGCGCCCUCUGGUAUUCCGGAGGGCAUGCCUGUUUGAGCGUCGUU